UAGCGAUCGGCGUGUUGGCAGUGUGGUUAGCUGGUUGUGUGGUUGAUCUAUAUACACGACCGCUAUCGGCACUGCAAUUAUGACGAUCGCAAA
rnacentral:pre_miRNA from 1 species